UGCCCUGUCCUGUCCUGUCCUGCCCUGUCCUGCCCUGCCCGUUCAUGUCGCUGUCCCUCAGCACACACCGGCUGAACGUGAGCCCAGAUGGGGCUGUACCAGCCACGGUGUGGCCAGCGGAACCAGGGCAAUGACACCCACCUGUGGUGAGGCACCUCCAGGCCUCAGUGCUUCUCUACAAAAAAGACAUUGCGGGUCUGGAGCAGGUCCAGAGAAGAGAAUGGAGCUGGGGAAGGGUCUGGAGCACCAGGAGCAGCUGAGGGAGCUAAGAAGGCUCAGCCUGGAGAAAAGGAGGCUCCAGGGGAGUUUCUUGCUCUGUACAACUCCCUGGCAGGAGGAUGCAGUCGUGUGAGGGUCAGGCUCGCUCCCAGGGAACAAAGAACAAAGAGGGACUGGACUCAGGUUGUUGCAGGGAAUGUUCAGGUUGAACAUCAGUAAGAAUCUGUGUGGAGAGGCUUGUCCAGAGUAGUGGUGGAGUCCUUAUCUCUAAAAGGGUUUAAAAGUCAUGUAGGUGUGGCACUUGGGGACAGGGUGGCCUGGGCAGUGGUGGGGGAGCAAUUUGUCUUGAUCUUAGGGUCUUUUCCACUAAUUCCAUGAUUGCAACAGUUAGGUCUGUGCUUGUUUUCAAGGUUUGAAAACUGAACAUUGCCUUUGAGAGGUUUACAGGACUUCCUUCAAUGUCCUGACUGUGCUUGAGCAGAAGUCAUGCUUUCUCUGGCAGCAAGAUGCGCAAGGUAUAUAAACGAGUGCACUGCAACUUUUUUGCUUGGAAAGAAACCUUUCCUGGACAAAAAUCCUGAUUUGGAAAUUUUUAUGUAUGCACACAAUAGCUGAGUGCACUGUCUGAGUGCAGCCAGUGCUGUAGCUGGGCCUUGCCCUUUCCCUGUGGCAAGAGAAGGUUUCAGUGUGGAGAUCUGUCCUGACUCAGCUCACACAGAACUGGGCUGGCCUAGAACACUUUUCUGCCACUGAAAGGCCAAAAUGGCAAUGCCUGUUUUGGUGAACAAAAGUGAUCUGUUUCUACACCUGCAGCCUGUGACUGGUAACACAGUUUUCUCAUGGCAUUUCCUAAUGACUCUAAUGAUAAUUUUUGAGUCUGUAAUUGCUUCCUGAAGGUCAAAAUCUACUCAGUGAUUUGUGUUGGUGAAUUGUGUCCUCCAGUGUGUCCCAGCUGUGGUUUUGCUUUAAAAACCCCUGCAGUUCAUCUGAAGAGACCUUCUUUUGCAGGCCAGGGAUGGGCAGUGGUACGAGAUGAAUGAUGCCUCAAGACAUCUCUCUGCCAAAGUACAUAUUUACUUUUCUACACCAGGAGAGAAUGACUUUUGUCAGGUGAGUUGUAUCUAUCCUGCAGUUUGACAGCCCUUUCUUCUCUGUUGCUGUCUGGCACAAAAAUGGGCUUGUGUAAAUUGCCAGAUGUGUGCUCUCUGAGAAGGGUGAGCUGUGAAAAGGGGCAAAAUGGGCAUCUGAGAGAGUAUAAAUGUAUGUGGCUGCUUGAAAGGAACAGACAUGGCUGGAAAACUGAUCUAUUUUCCAAAGCCUUGUGCUGCUUCACUCUUCUGCAUAUCAUGUCAAGUGUGCCAGAAAAUGACAGGCCUGAAGCCACAAGGAGACUGCCAGAAAUCAAGGAGGUGGAGAAAGCACACACACACUGGGGAGGGGGAGAAGCUGAACAGAAGCCAACCAGACAUUCCACCUCCUGGGAAAUGCAGGGCACCCUCAGCAGCAGCUGGGACAUGGCCGUGGGAACCUGCUCAGCUGUUCCCACAGGAGAGAAAGAGUGACUGAGCUCGGGGGAGAACGAUGUAAAAAAGAAGAAAGGAAAUUCCAGAGAGGAGGACUAAAAAGUAGCAACAUGUGCAACAUUGCCUCAGUCUUUGCCACCCAUUUGGAGUGCGUGGCUCCUGUAGGGACUGUUCAGCACUUGUCACCAAGCUUCCCAGCACAACCUGCCAGUGACCUUCAAGGGCUGCAGACAUCUCAGAAGACUGUUGACCAUUAAACCUGGCAUUUAUCAUUGAAACAAUAAAACCAUCAAGCCAAACCCA